UACAGAGGGUGCAAGCGUUGUUCGGAAUUACUGGGCGUAAAGCGCGCGCAGGCGGGUUUGUAAGUCGGAAGUGAAAUCUCACUGCUCAACGGUGGGGCUGCUUCUGAUGACUGGCGAGGCUUGAAUCCGGGAGAGGGAUGUGGAAUUCCAGGUGUAGCGGUGAAAUGCGUAGAUAUCAGGAGGAACACCGGUGGCGAAGGCGGGUCUCUGGGCCGAUACUGACGCUGAGACGCGAAAGCGUGGGGAGCAAACAGG
rnacentral:rRNA from 1 species